GGAAAUAUUAAAAUGAAAUGAGUAUUUAAAUAUAUCAAAUGCGGAAGCGAGAUCAAAAUUUCAGUUAACAUCCCUUACACGGAAAAAAACCAAAAACGUACUUAAAAUAUAAAAGAUUAAACUAACUAAGAGAGAAACUCGAAAAUAAAACUAUGAGUAUGACUACAGAGUCUCUAGGCAUCCCCUUCGUCGUCCUCCUGC
rnacentral:lncRNA from 1 species